rnacentral:misc_RNA from 1 species
UCCGCGUCCGCGCGCCCCGGCGGCCUCGGCGGCGGCGGCUCCAGCGCGAAGUCGCUGGAGAAGGACAUCCGCGGCGGCUCCAUCAGCUGCCGGCCGCGGCUGCUCCGGGUUGUACGUGUCAACACGUACGUGCCAUCUAGGACUACACGUACUCCAAACUGUCGAGUGACGACUGAUCGACGAACAGACGAAGACGCUAGUAGUGUGUGUGCUAGCUGCAGGAGGCCGGUAGCAGCAGCAUGCAGUGAAGUGUGCGGGUUCGGUCAAGCUCGCCAAGCUAUGGACGGAAUGGCUUGGGCAGGGUGCAGCCGUGCAACUGUGCAAGGGAUGUUAUAUAAUAGCAGCAGUGGGGAGGCCGGCUGCAGUGGAAGGGGAGGAGAGUUUGUGCAAACAUAAUUGCAUGCGUGGCGUGGGUGCAGUGAAACGGCCGGUGGCAAUUCAAGCAGCCACUCCCGUACCAACUUGUUCUUACGGCUAGCUACUAGUCUACUACUAGAGAGGUUUGACUGCGGCCCGCGUACGUGUUCCGGCGGCAGCCGUCCAGCAAACCCAGGUGCACGUGUCAGGUUCUAGGAGAUAAUCCAAACUACUAUACUAAACAUAUGUAAACG